CUUUCCUGGAUAUGACAAUGAUGAAGGAGUUAGUAUUAAUACCAACCACAACCUAUAUUAUCUGUUACCUUCUGCUAAUUGAUUUCUAUGCAUUUUAUUAGUUAGCCUUCUUAACAGCCUUCUGAAAUGGAGAUGUGUUUUUUAAAAAUUACCCGUGAGAAUAAGGAGGCCAAGAAUUAUCUAGUGGCUUCCCCAGAGUCAUAAAGCUGCAAACAGCAACAACAAUACAAAGCCUCAUUGGUGGCUUCAAUUUGGAAAGAGAUUGCCCUAACUAUCUGGAACUGAAUUGGCCAAGAUCUUUACAAAAGCAGCUGAUGCCUGUCAAAAGCUACUGCGGUGAAUGAAACUUCCCAGUCGCACUUGGAAUACAAUGUUUUGCCAUGAAGCUGUGCUUACAAAGAUGAAAUCUGAAGAAUAUGUGAGCAUACUUUACAGACCCUGCCAAGAAGUCUCUAGAAUGUAUGCACAACAGAGUUAAGGCAUUUGUGAUUCCACUCUAGCCAAUUUGGCUCAGUAGAUAGAGCAUUGGCCUGGGGACUGAAGGAUCCCAGGUCAAGGGCACAUGCCUGGGUUGCAGGCUAAUCCCCAGUAGUGGGUAGGGGGUUUUG